rnacentral:rRNA from 1 species
AGAGUUUGAUUCAUGGCUCAGGAUGAACGCUAGCGGCAGGCUUAACACAUGCAAGUCGAGGGGUAGAGUUCUUCGGAAUUUGAGACCGGCGCACGGGUGCGUAACGCGUAUGCAAUCUACCUUUUACAGAGGGAUAGCCCAGAGAAAUUUGGAUUAAUACCUCAUAGUAUUACGAAAUGGCAUCAUUUUGUAAUUAAAGUCACAACGGUAAAAGAUGAGCAUGCGUCCCAUUAGCUAGUUGGUAAGGUAACGGCUUACCAAGGCUACGAUGGGUAGGGGUCCUGAGAGGGAGAUCCCCCACACUGGUACUGAGACACGGACCAGACUCCUACGGGAGGCAGCAGUGAGGAAUAUUGGACAAUGGGCGCAAGCCUGAUCCAGCCAUGCCGCGUGCAGGAUGACGGUCCUAUGGAUUGUAAACUGCUUUUAUACGAGAAGAAACACUACUUCGUGAAGUAGCUUGACGGUAUCGUAAGAAUAAGAUCGGC